CCACAAUUCCAAUACACACGCAUACAGAAACACUCAGACGACUCGACCAACCCUGUUCAUCAUUUUCAUGAUUGAUUGAGAAACGCAAUAAUACCAAAACACCCUCCUAUACGCGUUUUUCUUCAUGCGAGAGACGCGUACAGGUAUCCAGUACUAUUUUCUUGUCAUCUUCCCUGCUCCAUCGACAAUUCAUACAAAGCUCCAUUGCUAGGUGGAACGAGAUCAACGAUUCACUUGUCCUGGCUUCUAGAUCGAACAACUCUAGUUUUCUUAGUCGUUCCAAUUUGUCACAGGUGAUGAAUUUUGUAUUAUUCGAGCUGUUUUUUUACACCUUAUUCUUUAAGAAAAUUUGAAAUCUUAGCUUUUCCCACAUCAUUUUCCCCUCAAUUUUGACCUAGAAUCCUUUCUAUAUAAAUCCUCUUCAUUCACUAUUUCAGAGGACACCAUUUUCGGAGACCAAAGAGUACCCAUAAUGUUUUGGAAAUUCAUGGUUCCAUAGUUUAAAAUUUUAAAAUGUUUUGUGUCUUUUCGAGUUGAAGAAGAGGAGUCAUCUUUUCAACUCGUCGUUCCAUUCGCUGUCCAGAACCAGAUGCAGGUAACCAGGAUCAGCAUCCAGCACUUUGUUGAUCCAUCUUGAGCAUUUAGUAUCUCUUGGUGAGCCUUCUUGCAUUUGGAGGACUCUUUAUUUGCUUUCUGGUGUAGUUCAUUAGGAUGUUGUGGGGUUUGUCUCAACAUCCAUCUUAAUUAUGUUAGAGGCUUCAACUUCAUAAACAAUCAGAUGUUAGUCUUUUGGGUCUUUUCAUUAUCAUUGUUAAGAUUUGGGUUGCCAUUUUUGGCCAAGUUGAAUGUUUAUUCUUUAAAACUUU